UACAGAGGUCCCGAGCGUUGUCCGGAUUUACUGGGCGUAAAGAGCGCGCAGGCGGUCGGAUCAGUCGAAUGUGAAAGCCCCCGGCUCAACUGGGGAGGGUCAUUCGAUACUGUCCGACUCGAAGGCAGGAGAGGGAAGCGGAAUUCCCGGUGUAGUGGUGAAAUGCGUAGAUAUCGGGAGGAACACCAGUGGCGAAGGCGGCUUUCUGGCCUAUUCUUGACGCUGAGGCGCGAAAGCUAGGGGAGCGAACGGG
rnacentral:rRNA from 1 species